AUUUAGGUAGCGCCUCGUGAAUUCAUCUCCGGGGGUAGAGCACUGUUUCGGCAAGGGGGUCAUCCCGACUUACCAACCCGAUGCAAACUGCGAAUACCGGAGAAUGUUAUCACGGGAGACACACGGCGGGUGCUAACGUCCGUCGUGAAGAGGGAAACAACCCAGACCGCCAGCUAAGGUCCCAAAGUCAUGGUUAAGUGGGAAACGAUGUGGGAAGGCCCAGACAGCCAGGAUGUUGGCUUAGAAGCAGCCAUCAUUUAAAGAAAGCGUAAUAGCUCACUGGUCGAGUCGGCCUGCGCGGAAGAUGUAACGGGGCUAAACCAUG
rnacentral:rRNA from 1 species